rnacentral:sRNA from 1 species
GUUGGCUCGACUACACUCAUCACCCUGCAUACCAACGUUGCUUCGGCGGGAACAGACGGCCCUGUAACAACGGGCCGCCCCCGCCAGAGGACCCCUAACUCUGUUUUUAUAAUGACAAGCAAAAUUAAAACUUUCAACAACGGAUCUCUUGGCUCUGGAAAUGCGAUAAGUAAUGUGAAUUGCGAAUUCAGUGAAUCUGAACGCACAUUGCGCCCGCCAGUAUUCUGGCGGGCAUGCCUGUUCGAGCGUCAUUACAACCCUCAGGCCCCGUACCGGGCCUGGUCACGUUGGGGAUCGGCGGAAGCCCCCUGUGGGCACACGCCGUCCCUCAAAUACAGUGGCGGUCCCGCCGCAGCUUCCAUUGCGCUAACACCUCGCAACUGGAGAGCGGCGCGGCCAUGCCGUAAAACACCCAACUUCAUGUUAGGUAGGAAUACCCGCACUGCAUAUCAAAACCGGGGAAGAAAA